CAUGUACUCCCUCCGUCCAGCAAAGGAUGUCUCAAAUUUGACCAAAUUUAAAUGCAUCUAUACAUUAAAUCAUGUCUAGAUACAUCCAAAUUUUAAUAAACUUGAGACAUCUUUUGUUGGACGGAGGGAGUACCAA
rnacentral:pre_miRNA from 1 species